CAGUCGCCGCGGUAAAACGAAGGGGGCUAGCGUUGUUCGGAAUUACUGGGCGUAAAGCGCACGUAGGCGGAUAUUUAAGUCAGGGGUGAAAUCCCGCAGCUCAACUGCGGAACUGCCUUUGAUACUGGGUAUCUUGAGUAUGGAAGAGGUUAGUGGAAUUGCGAGUGUAGAGGUGAAAUUCGUAGAUAUUCGCAGGAACACCAGUGGCGAAGGCGGCUAACUGGUCCAUAACUGACGCUGAGGUGCGAAAGCGUGGGGAGCAAACAGGAUUAGAUACCCCGGUAGUCCCUGUCUCUUAUAC
rnacentral:rRNA from 1 species